rnacentral:misc_RNA from 1 species
GAUGAAGAAACGUAGCGAAAUGCGAUAAGUAAUGUGAAUUGCAGAAUUCAGUGAAUCAUCGAAUCUUUGAACGCACAUUGCGCCCGCCAGUAUUCUGGCGGGCAUGCCUGUUCGAGCGUCAUUACAACCCUCAGGCCCCCGGGCCUGGCGUUGGGGAUCGGCGGAGCCCCCCGUGGGCACACGCCGUCCCCCAAAUGCAGUGGCGGUCCCGCCGCAGCUUCCAUCGCGUAGUAGCUAACACCUCGCGACUGGAGAGCGGCGCGGCCACGCCGUAAAACACCCAACUCUUCUGAAGUUGACCUCGAAUCAGGUAGGAAUACCCGCUGAACUUAAGCAUAUCAAUAAGCGGAGGA